rnacentral:lncRNA from 1 species
AGAGUGCUUUUACUGUCACAGAAAAUGGUAUAUCAAGCGCAAUUGUCGAAAACUUCAGAAUGAUCUGAAGGAGUUGAAGCGGCAGAAAGAGAAAACUUUCAUGAACUAGGAUGAGACGGUAUAAGCGACAGCGCAGGCGGCAGAAUCGGAGACGAUCGAUUCUAAUGUGCUAUAUGCAGCGACCGGAGGUGCUAAAAUUUCAGAUGACGCGUGGGU